GACGAACCGUGCGAACGUUAUUCGGAAUCACUGGGCUUAAAGGGUGCGUAGGCGGGUUGCCAAGUCUGUGGUGAAAUCCUCCAGCUUAACUGGAGAACUGCCGUGGAUACUGGCGACCUCGAGGGGUGUAGGGGCUUGCGGAACUGUGCGUGGAGCGGUGAAAUGCGUUGAUAUGCACAGGAACUCCGGUGGCGAAAGCGGCGAGCUGGACACCUUCUGACGCUGAGGCACGAAAGCGUGGGGAGCAAACAGG
rnacentral:rRNA from 1 species